UACGUAGGGGGCAAGCGUUGUCCGGAUUUAUUGGGCGUAAAGAGCGUGUAGGCGGCCAGGUAGGUCCGUUGUGAAAACUGGAGGCUUAACCUCCAGCUGUCGAUGGAAACCAUCUGGCUAGAGUCCGGAAGAGGAGAGUGGAAUUCCUGGUGUAGCGGUGAAAUGCGUAGAGAUGUGGAGGAACACCAAUGGCGAAGGCAGCCUUCUGGGCCAACACUGACGCUCAUGCACGAAAGCGUGGGGAGCAAACAGG
rnacentral:rRNA from 1 species